rnacentral:rRNA from 1 species
AUUAAAGAGAGUUUGAUCCUGGCUCAGGACGAACGCUGGCGGCGUGCCUAAUACAUGCAAGUAGAACGCUGAGAACUGGUGCUUGCACCGGUUCAAGGAGUUGCGAACGGGUGAGUAACGCGUAGGUAACCUACCUCAUAGCGGGGGAUAACUAUUGGAAACGAUAGCUAAUACCGCAUAAGAGAGACUAACGCAUGUUAGUAAUUUAAAAGGGGCAAUUGCUCCACUAUGAGAUGGACCUGCGUUGUAUUAGCUAGUUGGUGAGGUAAAGGCUCACCAAGGCGACGAUACAUAGCCGACCUGAGAGGGUGAUCGGCCACACUGGGACUGAGACACGGCCCAGACUC